rnacentral:misc_RNA from 1 species
AACGCACGAGACCUGCGGACCUGCGGAGGGAUCAUUAGUGAACGCCCUCACGGGCUUAUAACUGUUCCAAACCUCUGUGAACCGUGCCCUUCGGGGCUAUUUUACAAACAUGGUGUAAUGAACGUCAUAUAUCAUAACAAAACAAAACUUUUAACAACGGAUCUCU